AUUUCUGUAUUGGCAUAUCUGCUGGGUACCCAUUAUGUGUUUCUACAAAGAUAUUGCUUUGUGAGAUGACGUGUAAUAUUACAUUGGAUGCUGAGUAUGAGUUAUAUGGUUUGAAAUGAAUUGGUGAUUAUGAGCUUAGUACUUCAGUAAGAUGUGCUAAAAUUUGGAACAAGGUGGAAGCUGAAAUGUUGGGAUUAUGGAAGAAUAAGCAGUCUAUAUUCACUGCUUUGGCAUAUAAGCAGGAUGCAAAGGAAGAGAUUGGUAAUAUGAUUUUUGUAAAGAAAUUUUACAAGUGUUGGAAGGAUGAGGCAGGUUUGAUGUCUGGAGAUGAUAUAGAUCUCUUUAAAAUACAGUCAUGCCUUGGUAAUAUGUUGCCAUAGUAUUCAUUGCUUGUGAAACAAUUGAUUUCAGACUGGGCCAAUUUGGAUAGCUCAGAUUUUCUUACCAAGGUUAUAGAAAAGGAAAAUGCAGGUUGUUUUGACUUAAGAAAAGAUUUAGGAAAGUAAGGUUGCUUAUUAUGCUCAGG